CUUACAGUUAGGUUCUUAGCGUCAUAUACCAGAGAGAAGAUUUGACGUUCAAUUUAAGCAACACAAGAAACGGUCUUUCUGCAUCUUAUAUCGGACUCAUUUCCAUUUAAAAAAUUAACAAGAAAUUGUUUUUAUCUUGUGGAUUAUUAUUGGAUUUCCAUUUCUAUUUGGAUUUGACUGUUUCUCUCUGCUGUUUUCAUUCAACAGGGAAAAAACAGAGUUUCACCAUGAAGUUGACAGGAAUAUUUCUGCUGUUGAUGCUUUGGACCUGCGAGAGCGUACGAGUUGCAGAGAACCGAGACGACAAUAGCGUGUACGACCUGUUCGAGCUGGUCCAAGUCUCCAAGAAGAACCACGGAGUGACCCUAGUGAAGGGCGACGACCCAUACAGUCCCGCCUACAAGAUCCUCAACCCGGACCUGAUCCCCGAG